GUACAGAUAGUAUGACAGAACAGUGAAACAUUAACUUUUUAGGUUAGCAACCCACUGCCACAGUCCAAAAAACAGUCAACAUUACAACCAGCACACAAUGCUGAGAUUCACUACUAUGGUAUGGACGAAACUGGUGGCAUGAUCUUAAAUUCAUCAGCUCACCAAAAGGCUGACUAACUAACACCAACGAAUUGUGAAACUUGGUGCGCAUCACCGAUUUCUGCCAAAACUGGAACUGGAGAGGAAAAAGGUCUAUUGCCAAAUCCAACCAACAGAAUAUGGUCAGCACUAAGAGCUGGUCUUAACGAGAAUGCCAGAGCUGUAUGAUUCCUGCACAUGAUGGGGCCUCUUGCCUCUCAGUUGGAUCCCCAGGAGAAUGGACACAGCCAAGAAAGAGAGAGCGCCUGCUUGAAAAUAUAGAAUAGAAUAUGUUGCUCCACUAUGCCUCGGUCGGUGUGUGUGUGUGUGUGUGUUCCAAACCAAAGGGGAAAAACACAUAAUGCUACUAGUACUAAUACCAAACUGAUACUAAACUAACAGUACUAGUAACAGUACUUGACUGACAGAAAUACAUAUAUAAAACAGACAACCAUAGCACUUUGAAGCAUUCAUUGAAAAGAGGACAUGAAUGAACAUUUUGCUUGUUAAUGAGUAAUGAAUGAGUGGUAUACAGUAUGUGUUUUCCUCUUGUAUCUUAAUGUGCAUGCUCAGCCAAGGCUGCCAAGCCAAUUUCUUGUUUGAGAACAUUAUGCAAAUGAUUACCAUACAACGUCUUACUUGGGAAUGAUUUGUUAAGAUGAAAAUGAAUUCAGUGCCAGAUACCUGAUGCUGAGCCUGAUGCUGAUUUAAAUUGUGCUGUAACUGGCUCAAGUAACGCAUGUCGUACUUUAAAACUAAAGACAUGUCCUUGUGGACCUCUGCAGCAGGGAGCAACAAUGGCGGCAGGACCAGUUAAACAUU